rnacentral:lncRNA from 1 species
ACAUCCUCUUAAAUAAUCUUACCAAGGAAUAAUCAGGAACAGUCACGCUUCUGUGUCCCUUUCUGUUUUGCUAAAGCUAAGCUUAUGUACCAAGUUAGAACAUCAAUGACAUUAAAUGUGGAGACCUUUGCUACUUUUUGUUAGAGGGCAUCCCUAUAUUUGCUUGCUUUUAUUUUAAACCGUGGAAAUCUGAAUCCAGAUAGAAACAAAAUUAGGGUUUUUUCCAUACCACAUGCUAGCAUUUGCACUGAUUUUCAUAGGAAAAAAAACUUCAAACAGAACAAAAUAAAAACAUGUAGCCUAUAGCCAUUCCUAUUUAAAAUGAUUGGUUUCCUUGGCUAGGUAAAAUUCUGCAUGAUUAAAUUGCCAAUAAUUCUGACAUUUGGGUUUUUGCAUAGAUUUUCCAAAAUUUAGGUCCUAAGUUGUUAUGGUAACUUUUUUUUAAAGAAAGUUUAAUUUUAAAUUACAGAUGGAUUUUGCUGGGCAUUAGCAAUUUGUGUUUAUUUAGAAAAUAGAGUGCUCUUAUUUUUGUAAAUGUCUCACGGAAAUAACUAAAUUUGUUUAUAAAUUGAGACUACUAAAGCACAAUCGUUGAAGCCAUAGAGAACAUCUUGAAAUACAGUUUUAAGUGGAGAAUUUUAGGAAACUUACAUAAUAUCAUAACUCAAAUAUAUUUAAAUUGCAAUUCUCUCAGCCUUUAUACUCAUGUGCUGUAUACACAGUUACUCUAAACAAUGUAAGAGACAUAUACAGUAGCCCCUAGAGUUAUGAAUUUUUAAGUCAAUUAAUUUCCAUGAAGAAAAUUGAGAAUGGCUGUUUAUGUCUGUAUAUGGUGUGAUCCUCUAGUUGGUGCAUGCAUGUGUGCAUGCAUGUGUGUAUGUGUGCAUGUACACGUGCGUGUGUAUGUUUGUGUGUGUGUGUGUGUUGAGUUUUCUCCCAAUCCUUGUAAUAUAGGAAAUGAACACUUAUCCAAAUGUUGAGAGUUCAUUCACACCGCAUCUGAGUUACUAGGUCCUGGGACAGUGGAUAUAGGUAUUUUUCUCUUUUGUGGCCAAUUUAUUUAAAUAUAAAACAAUGGUGUUAGUCUUAGUAGGAGUUUAGAGUGACAAAGACUUAAAAUUUCCUUUGAGAGUGGUAUUGCUCAUGCCUAGCAUCUUUGUGUAUGUGCAGAAAAGGAGAGUAGUGUUAGGGGCUGCUGAGACUAUGGGGAGAAAUGAUGAUACAUUGAAGAGCUAGGUCUAGGGAGAGAAAUCAAAAUACUCUUGAAAGAUAGGAAAACAUUGACAUAGGGCUACCUCAUAUUUUUUUUAUUUAUUUGCAUGAAAUAAAACUAGAAUUAUAAAAUUCACAUUCUCAAUUGGGAUAUUAUAUUUGUUAAUCCAUAAAACUAUUUACAUUGUAUGUGGCAAGUUGUAGUCAUUUUUAAGAGUUAGACUCUUAUUGCUUCCAACCAAGAAAAAUAAAUGAAUUCAGUCUAGAAUUGGCAAGAGUAAUGAAGUAAUAAUUGUAAAAAUUGUUGGAGUAUGUCUUCCUGAGAAUCAUAGUCUCCUGUAUAGCUUGACUGGCCUUGAAGAACAGUGGUGACAACAGAGCCUGAUGUCUGUUGCACCUUUGAGUCUGUCAUUAUUUUAUAGACAAGAUCUGAAGCUCUGAUAACCCUGGCUAAAAACAUUUUUAAGAAAAGAAAGUUACUUUAAUAUUAUAUAUUAUUGUUUUACUCAUCAAUAGUUAUUGCUUAUGGUUAUAUUUAUUCAAUGGAAAACACUGUAUUUGUAUUGGAUACAAACAUGGAUUUGAUAUCCUUUUCUUUAAAUAUAUUAAAUGAAAUUAAAAAACAUAUGGGGCUUUCCUUGGGGUUGAUUUUUCUUCCCCUAUAAAAUGAGUUUCUGUGGUUCAGAGACAACCUGACAGAUCAACUAAAAUAUGAAACUGUGAGUCUGUGAUCUGACAGAUCAACUAAAAUAUGAAACUGUGAGUCUGUGAUGCUUAGGGCUUCUUGCACCUAAAGUAGGAAUUAUUAGAACCAGUUCUUUGUUCAAUGCAUGCUAUGGUUUGACUAAUGUCGAAUGGUUGCUGUGCAUCAGAAAAGGAAGAUAUUAUUGAGCUUCUCUCAGUUUGAAGAAGGCAAGUGAAGUACCAAGCAGGUAUUAGCAGAGUUAUUUAAAGCUGCAGACUUUACAUUAGGGAACACACUCAGAUAAAACU